rnacentral:rRNA from 1 species
GCUCACCGGAUAAGACAGCGGAAUGAUUGCCGGGCUGAAGACUCUGCAUGACUAGCUGAGAGGAGGUGCAUGGCCGUCGUCAGUUCGUACUGUGAAGCAUCCCGUUAAGUCAGGCAACGAGCGAGACCCACGCCAACAGUUGCCAGCAUGUUNUCCGGAAUGAUGGGGACACUGUUGGGACCGCCUCUGCUAAAGAGGAGGAAGGAAUGGGCAACGGUAGGUCAGCAUGCCCCGAAUUAUCCGGGCUACACGCGGGCUACAAUGGGCAGGACAAUGGGUAUCGACACCGAAAGGUGAAGGUAAUCCCCUAAACCUGUCCUUAGUUCGGAUUGUGGGCUGCAACUCGCCCACAUGAAGC